AAGGCUUGGGCGGGGCCAGCGGGGCGAAGCCGCUUCCUUUAUCUUUCUCAACCUGCGCCUAAAUUCCGUCUGCCUCAGCCGUGCCCUUUUCCGCGACUUCCUCUGCUGCAGUGCCUGUGUUGCUCAGACAAGCCCUCAGGAAGGUGGGGAUGCAGUAACUAGCAACGCCUGGGUCCUAUCAGAACAGUCACCGUAACAGUCAAUGACCUUAAGGGUCACCAGGGUAACUGCCGCCUUUUAUAGACGAGUCUGGAGAGUCUGGUGGUUUGCCCGCCACGCUGCAAGUGGGAGCCAGCAACAGGAGGACACUAUUUUGCCACUAAGCCAAGCUGCUAGCAAGAAAGAGCCUUGCAGCACAGGGGUUCCUGGGUGGCUCUGUCAGUAAAGCGCCCAGCUUAGGCUCAGGUCAUGAUCUCACAGCUCGUGGGUGGCUCGUGGGUUACAGCUCCGGAUCUGGCUGUGUGCUGCCAGCGUAGAGCCUCUUUGGAUCCUCUCUGUCCCUCCGAGCUCACGCCCUCUCUCAAAAAUUAAAAAAAAAAAAAAGUUUAAAAAACGUUUUCAGAACCUUGCAGCACAGCUAGAAUGUAAACUGAUACCAAACAAACCAUUACUUGUCUCCACUGAUGUUUUACAAUGUUGCUUGCUGCGCCGGUUGUCAGUGUGUUAUCUCUAGCUCCGCGUUCACUCUCAUUCCAUGCACUGCAGGAUGGAGCUGGGCCCUCCGAGCGCUCUUCCCCUGCCAGGUGGGCCGUUGCAGAGAUGUGCCGGGGAAGAAACCCCCUGGGAGGCAGUGCGGGAGGAAGGGGCUUUGCUGCCCGGCUCCAGUGAGUUCCCUUGACAGCUGCAGAACGAGAGGCCUCCCCGGAGCCCACCUCCCCGCACCAAGGACGGCUUCUUCUAGCUCCAGGUUCCGCGAGCACCCGACUCCGCGGUGCAGGCUGCCAGCACGCUGCUCCAGCUCCUGCCCUAUAGCCGCAAAGGCGCGCCCCUGAACAGCUUUCCUGGCACUCCGGAGGGACUGCCAGACGUCCUGCCAGCGCUUCUCCGCCAUUUGGUGAGCUGUAGCUAGGCUAUCUCCAAGCAAGUUGGACCUCAGCCCUGGGGCUACUGCUCCUGCAGCGAUUCUGACACCAGCUGUGUGACACCAGAUCCUGACACCCAGCAAUUCUGUGACAUCGGCUGGGUAUCCCACUGUAACUCACUCUGGUACCAUCCACCUGGAGACGGCAUCACAUCCACAGGUGGAGGGCUUCAUCCUGCAAGACCCCCUACGCUUCAGACGCCAACCGCGAGUCCAAAGUGGUAUCUGUGCUUCUGACCAAUUGGCUAUGAAUAUGAAUUGGGGUUCCCAUGAUCCUCCCUCAGGUGCAAUUAACUUGUUAGAGCGGCUCACAGAACUCAGAGAAAGAGUUCACAGACUGUUUACCAACUUAUUAUAAAAGGAUAUGACAAAAGCUACAGGUAAGCCUCCAGAUGAAAGAGAUGUCUGGACCAAGGUAUAGGGACGGACACACGGGGGUUCCAUGUCUCUCCAGGUCACCAAUCCACCAGCACCACCAUGUGCUCACCAACCCAGGAGCUCUUUGAACCCAGGGAAAUAAUGAGGACCCACCAAAUGAGAACAAGAAAAGGCUAUUUGUUCAGAGCUUGCGAUAGUGAGGGAGUCACUCCAUCACCUGGCCUGGUAGAGGCCCAGAGGCAGCAAGGGAGGGGGAGAGCUUCAUGGUGGAAAAGGGGGACUCAGCGGUGCCCUGAUGGGGGCUGUGGGCCUGAGGGAGCCAGAGAUGAACUCUAGAGAAGUGGGGCAUCUCCUGUGUUCGAUUUUCUCUGGUUGGUCCUGAGUUGGACCCGGGAACAAAAAUUAGGUAAGAUGUCAGUUAUUGACCGAGUCCUGGCCAUCUGGCUUAUUUGGACCGUCAGAGGGUAUUGUAUGGCUUUCUGGGUUGUCACCAGAGCCAGCAGUCCGAAUUGCCCCAAGUCUGACUUCGAGCAGCCGGCUUCCUGGGCGGGCUUCUGCAGAGGAGGCAUUGGUUUUGGGCGGGCUGCUGCAGGCCGUGGGCCUAUUUUCAUAAAUGGUCUGGCCACUGGCCACUUGUAUAUUCAGUUUCUCAUAAUAGGCACUGAUGAGCCAGUGCAGUGUUAACAGAAAACAUUGCUCCCAAGGUCACAACUCAGCUGUGAAGUGUCCUGACAGCCUCUUCCUUCUUACCGGUAACCUCCAUUGCCUGCUCUGUGGCCCCACCUCAUGAACAAAAAUACCUAAGACCCAGUUACUAAGUGGUCCACACUUCAUGACAGCAACCAUCUGAAGAUGGCCCUCACUUCCCCUCUCCCCUCCUCAGAAUUAUUCAGUGCAACCCCAAACCUUACAAAAUUCCCUCUCCAGUCUCCUCAUGAGACACAAUGGAGAAAUCUCUAGGGUUCUCUCUUUGCAACAGGUUAAUAAACCAGACCUGGUCUAUUA